GCCAAGAUAGCUCAGCUGGUAGAGCAACCGCUUCGUAAGCGGUAGGUCGGGGGUUCGAUCCCCCCUCUUGGCU
rnacentral:tRNA from 3 species